rnacentral:tRNA from 1 species
GUAGACAUAGUUUAAUAAGAACGUUAGAUUGUGAAUCUAACAAUAAAAGCUCAAGCUUUUUUGCCUACC